CACAUAGUUAGCCGCAGCUUCUUCUGCAGGUACCGUCAUUAUCGUCCCUGCCGAAAGAGCUUUACACCCCGAAGGGCUUCAUCGCUCACGCGGCGUCGCUGCAUCAGGGUUUCCCCCAUUGUGCAAGAUUCCCCA
rnacentral:rRNA from 1 species